GGAAGUUCAAUGGGAAAGACAUCCAGAAAAUUACAAAUAUUUGGUAUGAAACACACAGCAGGAUCAGCACCCAUAUUCCUAUUCAUUCAAUUAUUAGGAAAAUGAUAACAACAACUUAUAUUUCUUUUUUAGGGAUCGUAAGGUUACAAUUUUACUUUCACAGUCUAUUAUAGUUCUAUAUUUUUUCAAUUAGUCUAUUCCUAAUAUUACAUCAAAUCCUACAAAAUUUAAUGGUAUCAGGUUUGCACAUACUUCUAUCCCUGAAGUUUUUAUCCUAUAGUCCUUAUAUACACAAUGAGCUUCUGGUAGUCCUUUAGAGAGAUUUUUCCCCGCUAGUUUGUUUUCUAAAGCUUCUAGUCUA
rnacentral:lncRNA from 1 species